rnacentral:rRNA from 1 species
CCUUGACAUCCAGAGAACUUAGCAGAGAUGCUUUGGUGCCUUCGGGAACUCUGAGACAGGUGCUGCAUGGCUGUCGUCAGCUCGUGUUGUGAAAUGUUGGGUUAAGUCCGCAACGAGCGCAACCCUUAUCCUUUGUUGCCAGCGGUUCGGCCGGGAACUCAAAGGAGACUGCCGGUGAUAAACCGGAGGAAGGUGGGGAUGACGUCAAGUCAUCAUGGCCCUUACGGCCAGGGCUACACACGUGCUACAAUGGCGCAUACAAAGAGAAGCGACCUCGCGAGAGCAAGCGGACCUCAUAAAGUGCGUCGUAGUCCGGAUUGGAGUCUGCAACUCGACUCCAUGAAGUCGGAAUCGCUAGUAAUCGUAGAUCAGAAUGCUACGGUGAAUACGUUCCCGGGCCUUGUACACACCGCCCGUCACACCAUGGGAGUGGGUUGCAAAAGAAGUAGGUAGCUUAACCUUCGGGAGGGCGUUUACCACUUUGUGAUUCAUGACUGGGGUGAAGUCGUAACAAGGUAAGCGUAGCGAG